AGUGAACGCUGGCGGUAGGCCUAACACAUGCAAGUCGAACGGCAGCACAGUAAGAGCUUGCUCUUACGGGUGGCGAGUGGCGGACGGGUGAGGAAUACAUCGGAAUCUACUUUUUCGUGGGGGAUAACGUAGGGAAACUUACGCUAAUACCGCAUACGACCUACGGGUGAAAGCAGGGGAUCUUCGGACCUUGCGCGAUUGAAUGAGCCGAUGUCGGAUUAGCUAGUUGGCGGGGUAAAGGCCCACCAAGGCGACGAUCCGUAGCUGGUCUGAGAGGAUGAUCAGCCACACUGGAACUGAGACGCGGUCCAGACUCCUACGGGAGGCAGCAGUGGGGAAUAUUGGACAAUGGGCGCAAGCCUGAUCCAGCCAUACCGCGUGGGUGAAGAAGGCCUUCGGGUCGUAAAGCCCUUUUGUUGGGAAAGAAAAGCAGCAGGUUAAUACCCCGCUGUUCUGACGGUACCCAAAGAAUAAGCACCGGCUAACUUCGUG
rnacentral:rRNA from 1 species